rnacentral:piRNA from 1 species
UAUUCUUAAAGAACUAAGGCUGUGUG